GACGAACGCUGGCGGCGCGCUUAACACAUGCAAGUCGAGCGAAGCGGCGGACGGGUGAGUAACACGUGAGUAACCUGACUUAGACAUAGGGAUAGCCUCGGGAAACCGGGCUUACUACAACAUGGGCGAAGAUGGACUCGCGUCCAAUUAGCUAGUUGGUAGGUAACGGCACACAAAGGCGACGAUGUGUAGCCGGCCUGGGAGGGUGAACGGCCACAUUGUCACUGAGAAACGGUCCAAACGCUCCGGGCGGCAGCAGUGGGGAAUAUGGCACAAUGGAGGGAACUCUGAUGCAGCGACGCCGAGUGAACGAAGAAGGCUUUCGAGUCGUAAAGGUCUUUUAUAUGGGAAGCGGUACCAUAAGAAAAAGCCCCGGCUAACUACGUGCCAGCAGCCGCGGUAAUUC
rnacentral:rRNA from 1 species